rnacentral:lncRNA from 1 species
GAGAACUUUCACAAGCCCUGGAGAUCACAGAAGGAGUCCUGCUGUCCAGAUGAGGAAGCUGAGCUCAGAGAGAUUCACUAACUUACCUGCAGCCACACAGAAAAUAAGAUUGGGAAAUGAGGUAGACCAGAUGUGGAGGCGACGGGCGUUCCAUGAAAAGGGUGUGUGGGGAUCCGAACUGAAGAGCACUUUCCAGGAGACACACUUCGCUGUCCACACAGAGACCAGGACGCAUUCGUGGACUCACUUGCCCUAACUUCUGUCAUGCUGCUUGCAACGCACGGCCAAUCCCAGCAUGAAUGAAGCCAGCAAGACUUUUCUUGGUGUUUGUUGAGUGGGAUUCUGGUGCCUCCUGUGCAGAUUCACUUUUUACAAAAUUAUGUUGACAGUCUUGCUUAUAGGCCUCAAAAAACUCUGAGUAAGAUGCGCUGGUUUGCCUUUGGAACAUAGGAUAGGCACUGUUAUCAGAAUCUGCUGCAAUCUCAUA